CUCAGUUCGGAUUGGAGUCUGCAACCCGACUCCAUGAAGCUGGAUUCGCUAGUAAUCGCGCAUCAGCCACGGCGCGGUGAAUACGUUCCCGGGCCUUGUACACACCGCCCGUCAAGCCAUGGAAGCCGGGGGUGCCUGAAGUGCGCUGCCGCAAGGAGCGUCCUAGGGUAAAACCGGUGACUGGGGCUAAGUCGUAACAAGGUACC
rnacentral:rRNA from 1 species